rnacentral:rRNA from 1 species
AACGAACGCUGGCGGCAGGCUUAACACAUGCAAGUCGAGCGCCCCGCAAGGGGAGCGGCAGACGGGUGAGUAACGCGUGGGAACGUACCCUUUGCUACGGAAUAGCUCCGGGAAACUGGAAUUAAUACCGUAUGUGCCCUACGGGGGAAAGAUUUAUCGGCAAAGGAUCGGCCCGCGUUGGAUUAGUUAGUUGGUGGGGUAAUGGCCCACCAAGGCGACGAUCCAUAGCUGGUCUGAGAGGAUGAUCAGCCACAUUGGGACUGAGACACGGCCCAAACUCCUACGGGAGGCAGCAGUGGGGAAUAUUGGACAAUGGGCGCAAGCCUGAUCCAGCCAUGCCGCGUGAGUGAUGAAGGCCUUAGGGUUGUAAAGCUCUUUCACCGGAGAAGAUAAUGACGGUAUCCGGAGAAGAAGCCCCGGCUAACUUCGUGCCAGCAGCCGCCGUAAGAC